CACAUGGGGAAUACACACCUUGUUCAAGCUGGGAGUCCUGAAGUUACACCAAGUCAAAACUCUCUCUCGCUUCUUAACUUCCAGUCCCUCCAUAGAGCUGGAGUAGCCACGCUCACCAUUUUACCUCCCAUGUGUCUCUGUAGGAGGUUACUACCAUUAAUCCUACAGGGAGAGGAGAUGAAGAAACGAGGGAGAUGGAGAGAGACUCUUCUCUUGCUUCCAGAGCAGCAGCAUUGCCCUCAGGACAGGGGCGGAGUCCAGGUGCAGAGUGAAAGAGAUACUUAUGAUGAAAGCGUGGCACAACCGAAAGAGUAAAACCACUGGGAGGGGGGUAGCGGGAGUUGGAACAAGCACUUGACAGGGGUACACAGAGACUUGCGUUUGACUUCCAGGGGCCUGCGGCAGUGCUCAAAAGACACAUUUCAAUUGCACAUUUCUAAGCUGAGCGGAGAGAGAUACUGAAAGGUUGCCUGAGAACUGUACCAAAUGCAAUGAUAAGAAGAAAUGAACAGUCGACUAUUUUUAAAAACAAAACAAAACUAAAAAAAACCAACAAACCCAAACAACAAACAACCUUAUGCCAUUCAAGGAACAACUGAACACAAUGGAAGGGGAAAUUCUGAUAAAUACAUCAGGGUCUCUUCGGCAACAUAUCAGUUUUACUAAGUCAGCCCUUGCUAUGAGCAGGUGUCCACUGAAGCGGAGUCCUCGUGAACAGAGAGAGAAGCUGGAAUGCGCUCAGACAAGCAAAGAUUUCAAAGAUGGGGGUACAGGAGGACAGAAGCCAAGACCCCUGUGCAGAAGAAGCAGAGCCUUCCCCAAACUGGGAUGGAGGCACAGCUACUGGGAUUUGCAUCCAAACAGGAACCCUGCAGAUUUCUUCAAAUCCUGGCGACAAAGGUAUGACAUUUAUGAUUUGCGACUGUUAUUCCACAUGUGUGAAUUGCCAAAACAAAGCUUUCGAAAAGGCAACUUUUAUUUGUGACUGAUGCAGUUUGUAAACAGAAAAGUGCCAACACUGA